CGGCGGACGGGUGAGUAACGCGUGGGUAACCUGCCUCAUACAGGGGGAUAACAUUGGAAACGGCUGCUAAUACCGCAUAAGCGCACAGUACCGCAUGGUACGGUGUGAAAAACUCCGGUGGUAUGAGAUGGACCCGCGUCUGAUUAGGUAGUUGGUGGGGUAACGGCCUACCAAGCCGACGAUCAGUAGCCGACCUGAGAGGGUGACCGGCCACAUUGGGACUGAGACACGGCCCAA
rnacentral:rRNA from 1 species